GACGAACGCUGGCGGCGUGCUUAACACAUGCAAGUCGAACGGAAAGGCCCUGCUUUUGUGGGGUGCUCGAGUGGCGAACGGGUGAGUAACACGUGAGUAACCUGCCCUUGACUUUGGGAUAACUUCAGGAAACUGGGGCUAAUACCGGAUAGGAGCUCCUGCUGCAGGGUGGGGGUUGGAACGUUUCGGCGGUUGGGGAUGGACUCGCGGCUUAUCAGCUUGUUGGUGGGGUAGUGGCUUACCAAGGCUUUGACGGGUAGCCGGCCUGAGAGGGUGACCGGCCACAUUGGGACUGAGAUACGGCCCAGACUCCUACGGGAGGCAGCAGUGGGGAAUAUUGCACAAUGGGCGGAAGCCUGAUGCAGCAACGCCGCGUGCGGGAUGACGGCCUUCGGGUUGUAAACCGCUUUCGCCUGUGACGAAGCGUGAGUGACGGUAAUGGGUAAAGAAGCACCGGCUAACUACGUGCCAGCAGCCGCCGUAA
rnacentral:rRNA from 1 species